UAAAAAAUAAAUGAAAGUCACAUUAGAGCAUUAUUCCAUUGUUGGUUUUGGAACAGUAUGUUACAUUUAAAUGACAAACAGCAUGAAAAGCAUGAAGCGGUGUGGACAUUAAACUCACAGUCUGAGAGGCCUGCCGCCACAGCGAAUACACCGGGUGAUUCUGACAUGAUGACCACUCUGGACAAGAGCUGAAAUCAAAACCUUUCUUUUGUCCGUCUUGAACACACGAAAAAAAGAUUCACCAGGACGCUCCUUGUGUCUGCACCAGAUGAGGUCAUUGAACAUGAAGCCAACUAGUGUGUCCUCCAGCGUCCAGAUGUGACGAUCAGUAGCUGCAUAGCUGUGCAUCAGAGCCCUGGUUUUACUCCAGAAGAGAAACUGAGCAGGAGUGAAAAUAGCUAAAAUCAAGACCCACCCUAUCGCAUGGCCAAGUAUGUGGCAUUGCAAUAAACAUCUGAUGGUAAUCCUCCACCUUCACAUUACAAGAGGCUUGAUGGACCACCGCCUCCUCGAACAGUCUCCAGAUCUCCUCACAGUCAUACCUACACAUAAAGUUUUUUUUUUUGUUUUUUUUUACCCUUUCAUUAAUCAAUUCAUCAUUUUGAGACUUUUCAAAAUUCUCUUGUCAGCUUCAUAUAUGUGGAAAUUUCCUGGUUUAUUUCACUAUGGCUGUAAAAUAAUAUAUAGGUAUAAUAAGAUGUAUAAGAUAUUUACAGAUAUAACAUGGGGCUUAGUUUAAGUCCUUAGAUUUUUGAUGCAUGUAUGCCAGGGGUGAGGAAAGCCAUUAUUUAAAUUAAUUAUUUUGCAAAUCAUCCAACUGUACAUUAUUCAGUUUCCAAGUCAGAUAAUUUUUGGGUUUCAAGAUCUAAAUGUAGGCAUAGUUUAUCUCUUUGUGAUUUAACAAAAGUGAUAAACUUUACUACAACUACACAAGGGAUAUCACAUAUUUCUAAAGGAUACCAAGCCAAUACCAAUGAACUUAACAAUUAAAUCAAGUUUUGCAAAAGUAAGCUUGAAUUUCCCAUAAAAUACAACAUCAUUUCAUAUUAUUGUCAACAAAAAUGAGUCUGCAACAUCAAAAUAAGUGUAACUGUACUCCAUCUUUAUCUUUUUGCCUUUGGAGGAAAUCAAAUCUUUUGAGUUUCUUAGGCUCAAGUCACUGGUUAUAAUGCCAGACCGAGUCUCACUCAAAAUUUGGAAAUGUUAUCUCAUGAGCAUAAAUGACAUUACAUUACCUUGAACUGGGGUUGACAAGAGAGAUGUAAUUAUAACACCUUCCAACCACGAUGUGUUUAAUGUUGGGGGUUGUCCCAAGAUGUGCUCUCAGCUGACUGGGGCAGAACAGAAGCAUGAUCAACCCUUUGAAAUGGAUGCAAAGACAGAAGAAAGAAGACAUAAUCUUUCACAUUUGGGAAUGGAUUCAUCAAGAAAAUAAAGAUGAAGAGAAAGAAAGAAAAAUGUAUGGGGAGGAAUUACUUACACAUCGUCAGGUUGAUCAUUACAAAGGUCUCAAACGUGGAGUUAAUGAUGGUGAGACCCUGGACUGCCUCAUUGCUCCUCAGUAAAGAUGCGUGUUUGUGCAUGCUUCAAUUUGCCUUCCAUUAAAAAUAUAAAUCCUU